rnacentral:rRNA from 1 species
GACGAACGCUGGCGGCGUGCUUAACACAUGCAAGUCGAACGGAAAGGCCCUGCUUUUGUGGGGUGCUCGAGUGGCGAACGGGUGAGUAACACGUGAGUAACCUGCCCUUGACUUUGGUAUAACUUCAGGAAACUGGGGCUAAUACCGGAUAGGAUCUCCUGCUGCAUGGUGGGGGUUGGAAAGUUUCGGCGGUUGGGGAUGGACUCGCGGCUUAUCAGCUUGUUGGUGGGGUAGUGGCUUACCAAGGCUUUGACGGGUAGCCGGCCUGAGAGGGUGAACGGCCACAUUGGGACUGAGAUACGGCGCAGAGUCCUACGGGAGGCAGCAGUGGGGAAUAUUGCACAAUGGGAGGAAGCCUGAUGCAGCAACGCCGCGUGCGGGAUGACGGCCUUCGGGUUGUAAACCGCUUUAGCCUGUGACGAAGCGUGAGUGACGGUAAUGGGUAAAGAAGCACCGGCUAACUACGUG